AUGAACGCUAGCGGCAGGCUUAAUACAUGCAAGUCGUACGGGAUCCGAGGUAGCAAUACUUUGGUGAGAGUGGCGCACGGGUGCGUAACACGUAUGCAACCUACCUUUAACCGGGACACAACCUCGAGAAAUUGAGGCUAAUAUCCCAUAACACUGCGAAGUGGCAUCAUUUUGCAGUUAAAACUCCGGUGGUUACAGAUGGGCAUGCGCGACAUUAGCUAGUUGGUGAGGUAACGGCUCACCAAGGCUACGAUGUCUAGGGGUUCUGAGAGGAUUAUCCCCCACACUGGUACUGAGACACGGACCAGACUCCUACGGGAGGCAGCAGUAAGGAAUAUUGGUCAAUGGGCGCAAGCCUGAACCAGCCAUGCCGCGUGAAGGAUGACGGCCCUAUGGGUUGUAAACUUCUUUUGUACGGGAAAAAACCUCUGGUCGUGUAUCAGAGCUGAUGGUACCGUAAGAAUAAGCAUCGGCUAACUCCGUG
rnacentral:rRNA from 1 species